rnacentral:lncRNA from 1 species
UGGGAUGUUGUAUAACUGAAGAAUUGAAUUGCACGAUAACUUACCACUAAAAGAUAAUUUUGGUAUAUCCAUCAAAUUUUAUCUCUUUUGAGUAGUCAUGAUAUAUUACUAGAUAUGAAUCUUGACUUGUAGACUCAUAAGAAUUAAAUAAAUUUAAUUUAAAAAUUAAUUAAAAAGAGUUCUGAUUAAUUGGUGUAAUUGGGCUAACCUAAUCUAAUCAGAUUAGGGUUAGGUCAAGAGUCUGGAUCCACUGCUGGC